rnacentral:piRNA from 1 species
UAGGAAAGAGUUCCAGUGUGUCCAGAUGCAU